UACGUAGGGCGCAAGCGUUGUCCGGAAUUAUUGGGCGUAAAGAGCUCGUAGGCGGCUUGUCACGUCGGGUGUGAAAGCCCGGGGCUUAACCCCGGGUCUGCAUUCGAUACGGGCAGGCUAGAGUGUGGUAGGGGAGAUCGGAAUUCCUGGUGUAGCGGUGAAAUGCGCAGAUAUCAGGAGGAACACCGGUGGCGAAGGCGGAUCUCUGGGCCACUACUGACGCUGAGGAGCGAAAGCGUGGGGAGCGAACAGG
rnacentral:rRNA from 1 species